GGGUUGCUGAUGUUUUAGUUGGAUUUGUUUUAUAAGAGAUGAAACAGUGCCCUCUAGAUGACAACAAUCUAACGAGCGUUGGAGGGCACCACUGGUAGGAAUUAUGUUUGGAAGUUUGUCAACAGCAACUGACGACAACUGCACAACAAUAAAACACGGGCUAAGAGUCGUACAGUGUGUUGAAGGAACGUUGCAUCGUUGUGUCUCGAGACAGUAAUUGCAGUAGUGGAGGAAUUUGGAAUUGUGACACUUAAAGAAAUCGAAAUGGACGCGCACAACGUGGAAAAGCUGUAGGAAAAGGAACCAAAGAUGAAGCUACCCUUCAUGAAGAGAAGCAUACGCAGACAGAGGAGGUUUCAAAGGUUCUCCUAGAUUGGAGGCUCGUCACGCCGGCUUUGCUCCCCGCACUGUUACUUUUUCUGCAACCUGAGAUGAUGGAAUCACUUGGGAUGGGCAUCAAAAGCAUCACUAUAAUACUGAUCUUAUCUCAGGUAAACACAUCAAAAUGCACUUUCACCAAACCGGUGUCUACCAACAUAUACGUAUCCAGACAACAGCACUCACAUUUGAAGCAAAUAUGAUCAGAAAACGAGACAUGGUGUUUACUCUCGUAUCGCUUCAGAGAAAAAGGAGAGAGCAUGACUGCUGGCUAACUAGCUCCCUUGUUACUGCAACAGUUGAUGCAAUCAAUAAAGCACGCACAGCUCUGUUCUGGGAAUCAUCAGUAUGUCUUUGACCAAUCACACAACUCGGAAGAGAGUACCUGUUGUGUAAAUUAUCUACACGCCAGGGGACGUCUGAGUCCGCCUCCAUAUGUUAGAUGGAUGGAUGUUGUGAAUGUGAAGAGAAACUCCUGAACUGAAUAUCAAAAGUUGCACAGUCUCACUGUCUCCAGUGGCUGUUUUUAUUUCCUCAAGGUACAGACUUGAAGCUAGCUUCCAUUGAUUUGUGAUUGCUUUUGAACUUGUCAAUGGUGAAGCUUGGAGAAGAAAAAAAGUUUCACUUUUUGGUGGAAAUCUGCUGGAAAAGAUUAAAAUAACUAAGGGCAGGCAAUUGACUGAAUUUAUUUCAAACCAUUCCAGCUUGUGUGUGUGAUAAAUGGCUCCAAGGUUAAGCACAUCAAGAGCGGCUUUGCUUAUGGACUUUGAACAGUGCCACUGACUUUGAGAUAGUGACAGGUUGUUUUUUUUUUUAUUUUGGCAGGGUUGGGGUUGCUGCUAUUUGUACACAAUAUGGUUAAUCAUGAUCCUGUGCAUUUAAAUGACACUGUGGAUUUUUGUGGAAUGCUCCAUUUAUUUCAGUAAUCAUAAACCUGUGUCUCUGCUUUCCUUGUCGCAUAACAAAACCUGGACUCAGAGCACAGUGGCUAUUUUUUCUCAGGUACAUUAUUAGAGCCCCUUUCCAUUAUUUUUUAAUGCCGCUGUGCCUGUCAGUCAGGGGGCUUGGAUUGAAACCCAUCGCAGACACAUUAUCCAUGCUGGAGACAGUUAAACCCAGCAUAUUUGCUGUGAAAGUCGGCAGGAGCCGAAACAGAAACAGUGGGAUUGGCUCAAAAUAAGAAUAAAAUCAGAUAAAAAGACCCAACAAGUUCGAUUACACUCACUUAAAAUCUAGAACGUGUUUUUGGAAAACCUGUAAUUUUUUUGUUUUGUGAAAAGUGUUUCAUCCAGUUUCAUCCAAGGCUGUUGUGUUUGUCAACCAGUAUUUUAUCUUGUCCUAUUGUCACAUAAGGCUCUUGUUUACCUCACUUUACUCUGGGGAAACAAAGAUUUUUAAUUUACAAUAAACAAUACGAC